UACGUAGGGUGCGAGCGUUAAUCGGAAUUACUGGGCGUAAAGCGUGCGCAGGCGGUUGUGCAAGACAGAUGUGAAAUCCCCGGGCUUAACCUGGGAACUGCAUUUGUGACUGCAUAGCUAGAGUACGGUAGAGGGGGAUGGAAUUCCGCGUGUAGCAGUGAAAUGCGUAGAUAUGCGGAGGAACACCGAUGGCGAAGGCAAUCCCCUGGACCUGUACUGACGCUCAUGCACGAAAGCGUGGGGAGCAAACAGG
rnacentral:rRNA from 1 species